UAAAAAAAAUUUCGUGGCCCAAUUUAGUACACUAUCACGAAUCCCAGCUAACAUAUCGCCGUCACUCUUUCUCGAAAACGAACAGCAGCGAAUUGCCACAAGAUAUCGGAAACCGCCACGAAUACCACGAACAGCAACGAACCGCCACGAAUCGCCACAAGAUAUGGUCGUGCUCUCCCAGCCACGAAGUCAAUUCGAGUAUCCUCACACAAUUGAUUCGAGUAUCCUCUCCCAGCCACGAACAAUAUCGUUGUCGCCGUCAGGUAUUUUCUCUCUCCAUAAUUAAUUUUGUACUUAUGUCAUGAAUUUCGUAACGAAUAUGAUUUUUGUAGAAUGUUUUUUUCUUUUUCGUAAUUGUUGUUGAUUUCUUUUUGGAGUUGAACUCGUUUUCGAAAUUGCGAGGUUGUAAAUUUGGAAAAAUAUAUAUAUCAGUAUAGACUGGUUACUUUGAGCCAAAUCACUUCAGCUUGAAAAGUAUGAAACUCGUAAAAAUCAAUUCUAGCUCUAUUUUAUUGUUUCGGUUGAAACAAUUAGAUUUCUUAAUUUUGUUUAGAGCAAUUAGAUCAUCUGAUAUUGGUUGAAGCAAUUAGAUUUUCUGAUUUGGGUGGUUGAAGCAAUUAGAUAUUUUGAAUUUGGUUAAAGCCCAGAAUUUAAAAAAAUAGUGAGAAAGUAAAAAAAAAAAAAAAAAAAAAAAAAAAAACAGAAGCUUACUUUAGCUCCCUUUCCUACUCUUUCAAGUAAUUACUUCUUUUUUGUUUCUUUCAGAAUUUGUUUUCCUUUUCUUUUGUAAUCAAAUUUUAUCAAAUCUAAUGCUUUUUUGAAUUGGAUUUGUAAAUAGAGUAAAACGAUAGAGAAGAAGUCACAUUGGAUCAUCUAGAUCAUCUGGCUUGAGAAUUGAUCAUGUGGAGAGAUGUUGCUAAGUCAAGCCUUUGGUUUGGUUUUGGGUGUCUUUGUUCCUAACCUUGUUGCUUUACAAAGGGAGUAAACUAUACUUAAGUUUUGCUACUGUUAAUCAUUUUCACUUCUAGAUUUGAUUGGUAAUAUGGAAAUUUGAUGUAGUGUUUGGGACUCAUGAAUUCUAGUCUUUCUUGCAUCGCUGCUGCCAAUUGAUUUUUUUUUUCUUGUAUGGAACUUUAUUGCUUCUUGAGUUCUUGCCAAUAUAUAAAAUUCCUACUGCAUCAUUUUGUUGCUUGCCUUUUUUUUUUUUGACAAUGUUGUUGCUUGCCUUAUUUGUGCAUAUUUUAGCUGUUGAGAUGUAGCAUUUUGGGGUUUUCGAGGUUCCAAUUUCAAGUCAAUUGCUGAUUUAUAUUACUUGUUUUGGAAUCAUUCGGUUCAUAGCCAUAUUCUUUGAAUUAGAUUUCUUGUUGUGGAUUUAUAAAACAAUUAGUUGUUGGAACAAUCGAGGUUUCGAGACGAAUAUGAUUGAUAGACAGUUCAGGAAUUGGUAUAUUAUAUGCUUUGAGGAAUGAUUUUAGCUAUUUUAGACCAUUUACUGAGUCUCAGUACUUAUUCUGUGCAACUGAAGCAACGAGCUGAAAGGAAAAGAUUAGUUACUAAGGUUGAGUAUGCAACUUCUUGCUUUUGAUCAGAUACUUGCUAGCAGGCGCAGUGAUGAUUUCUUUCGAGCUACAAAUAUUAUUUGAACAAAGAGAUUUCGAGUGGCAACAAGAGAACACCGAAACUCAUACAAAAGCUCUAUCUAUAUUUAUAUACAUAUACCCUUUAAUGGCAUAUUAGUCCUUUUUAAAUAAUAACAUUUAUAUAGCUGCCUGAAAUAUUUUAGCAUUAUCUUCUUUCUUUUUUUUUUUCCCUAUUUUCAUAUCAGUAUGCUUAGGUUUAAUGUAUAGUUAAUAGUUACAUGAAGUGAUGUAUUACAGGUUGUGCAAUACAUUGAUGACAUGUGAAUACUAUUUUAUUUAAACUUUUUUAGUUUGGUUUGAUUCUAGAGUUCCGUCUCACUUCAUUGAUGGAGUGAUAGAUAAGUGAACAUUGGGUUAUACCACAUUAUACUCUAUCAAUUCGGUUAGAGGGCCUUAUGACCCUUAUGGAUUUUCUUAAGUAGGGGUGGACUUUCAGAGUUACAGUGGAUAUGGAUGCAUAAAAGGGUGAAUUUAAUAGCUUCUAAGGAAGACCAAAAGAUGAAAGCCAAUAGAGGUUUACUUAAGGUUUUCCCGAUGUUUAAGAAAAGAGAAUCAGUUAAGGAGUCUCAUUACUUAUUCAAUGCAACUGAAGCAACGAGCUUGAAGGAAAAGAUUAGCUACUAAGGUUGAGUAUGGAACUCGUUGUUUUUGAUCACAUACUUUUUUUUUGAAAGAAAAGGGAUUUCAUUAAUAUUUCGCCAAACGACACUUACAAAUCAUUUCUGAAAAACAUAAAAUUCUAAUAGAAAUACAUAUCACCCUAGAAAUGUAAACAUCGCAGAUUUGAUUUAAUUUUGCCUUAAUAAAAAAUCUUCAUCUGAAGCAAUGCAAUCUGUGAGUUUGCUCUGGUUCGGCAUACGAUCUGCAGAUGCGGAAAUUUUAGGAUGAAUGUACUCCAAUAGUCUUCCAUAAUUUUACAGAAGUUGUGAAACCCUAAUUCUUCAUGUUGAAUCUCGAACUUCAACCAAUGAGAAUAAUUUCUCAUACCUAAAAACAAAAGAACCAUACUCACAACUUCCAUAGGGGCGAAGGAGAUUUCCAAAACAGAAACUAAAAACCCCAUAAAAGGGUUUGAGAAAAUCUCAUAAAGAGAUACUAAUUUAUUAAACAAAACAAGAAAAUGAACUAAAAACUGAAAAUAAAAGGGAAAAAGGGGCUUAUCAUGGAUGAAAAUAUCCAUGGCAGCCCCCUAAUUAAUGAAGAAGGGGUAAGGGAGGCUAGGGUUUUAGAGAGAGAAAAGGAGAGGGGAGGCUAGGUUUUCCUUCUUUGUUAGGACUUGAUCACAUACUUGCUAGCAAGCGUGUUGAUGUUUUUUUGGUGCUACAAUUAUUAUUUGAACAAAGAGAUUUCGGGUAGCAAAAGGCAACAUCGAAACUCAAACGAUCGAAAGCUCUUGUGACCUGUGGGUAUAUAUAUCCUUUAAUGGCAUUCUAGUCCUUUUUAAAUAAAACUAACAUUUAUAUAACUGCUGGAAAUAUUAUAGUAUUAUGUUUCUUUUUGUAUUUUAUAUUAGUAUGCUUAAAGUCAAUGUAUAGUUAAUAGUUACAUAAAGUGAUGUAAGCAUUUGUUUAAUAGGAUAAGGUUACAGGUUGUGCAAUACAUUGAUGACAUAGGCGGUUGGCAAAGAAUACGAGUGUCCCUCUAUAUACAAUCCACAAGUAUUGGUUUCUUCUAGGAUGACAUUAAAAGGAAAGCUAUGGUAAUAAUAGUUGCUAACUUUUGAUAUCCCCUUGAUAGAGCCAUAAAUCGAAGUAGUGGUAUAGAGUUUUCUAUGAUAUAAUAUGUGAGGGUAUCCCAGCUGCGAUGCUCAUGGUAAUCAAUAUUAGGGUGCGUUCUGUUCAACUUAAAAAAUUAAGUUUCAGGUCGAAUAAGUUCAGAUAAGUAAAGAUAAGUUGCAAUAAGGUCUAAUAAGGGCAAUAAGUUUCAAUCAAGUGCAAUAGGUUCCAAUCAGGUGCAAUAAGUUCUAAUCAGGUCUAAUAAAGUCCAAUAAGUUCCAGUCAGGUCUAAUAAGGUCCAAUAAGGUCCAAAUAGUCAAUGUUUAAUAAACAUUUGUUUUAUUGUCCAUUAUUUUGUUAUUCAUAAUUUCAUAUCACUAUUAGCUGAUUAUGUUAUUAUUAGAAUUUUAAUCAAAGUACCACAAUGAUUAUAUAGUAUUAUACUUGUAUUAGUGUCUAUUAUUUUAUUAUUUAUUUGUAUUAUGUCUAUUAUUUUAUUAUUUAUUUGCAUUAUGUCUAUUAUCUUAUUAUUCAUAUUACUUUUUUUUUGAGGGGAUAUUAUUCAUAUUACUAUUAGCUGAUUAUGUAAUUAUUAGAAUUUUUUAUUAAAGUACCACAAUGUAUAGUAUUAUACUUGUAUUAUUGUCUAUUAUUUGAUUAUUCAUAUUGCUAUUAAAUAAUAUUAUAAUCAUGGUCAAAUAAUUAAGGUUAACAAUAAUAAUUAUAAUUAUAAUUAUAAUAUUUUGCAAUUCGUCUUUAAAUAACUAGAGAUAACAUGUUAAAUAUAUAAAUAGUAAUUUUUUUUUGUUAAAUUAAUUAUCAUAAGAGAUAAUUAAUAAUAAUUAUUUUUUUAAAGGAUGGAUUUUAUUAAUUAUUACUAAUAAUUUUUGAGGGGUAAUAUUUACGUUAGGGGUAAUAUUUAUAUUACUAAUAGUCAAUUUUUUUGUCUAAUAAGGUCAAAUAAGUUUCAAUUAGGUCCAAUAAGGUCUAAUAAGUUUCAAUCAGGGCCAAUAAGGUCUAAUAAGUUUCAAUAAGGUCAAUAAGUUCCAAUAAGGUCUAAUAAGUUUCAAUCAGGUUCAAUCAGGUCCAAUAAGUUGAAUCAAGUCCAAUCAGGUUUAAUAAGUUCCAAUAAGUUCAGUUCAGGUUCAAUAAGUUCAGUUCAGAUAAGGUCCAAUAAGUUCAGGGCCAAUAAAUUGAAUAGAACGCACCCUUAGUGGAGGAUGUUAUGCAUUUGACAACAGAAGAUCGCCAUCCGGAAUCAGUUGAAGCAUUUGUUACAUUUGGACCUGAUGCAAAUACCAGUUUAAUACCUACUGUCGGUCUUUCUAUGCAAGGGGAUAGCCAUGUUACCGUUGAUGAUCCUAUAUAUCAUUGUGAUUUCAACACAGGUGUCAAGCUAAUUUCUACUUUGUAAGCUGUACACGAACUCAGUGAUUGACUUAUCUGCCACUACUUAAGUGCAAUUUCCAUCCUUCUAAAUGCAGAGUGAGCGUGUAUAUUGUCUUGCUGUGGUCAAGAGUACAGAGCUCAACAUUAUUGGACGCAAGUCAUCUGUUUACAGAUAAUAUUUUCCAUUUAGGUUGAGUGCAUUUGGUGAUUCUUGAUAAGAGUAGUGCAACACUCAAACAUAUGAGGAAUUGAGUAUAGGGCUGAGAUUAGUGCAGCAUCAAGUCAUCAACCAACUCAGCUACCAACAUUUUAGUAGCAAAGCAAAGUUCCGCUUCUUUUUGUUAUCUGGAAGAUUUGUUCUGUCUCGCAAAAAUAUAGUUAAUAUUCUCAUGUAUCUAAUUAUUUAUGUUUAUGCUUCAAUUGAGCAUAAUAUGCUUAAUAAAAUAAUUAUUGAUAUA